ACCUGGGUGGCUCAGUCGGUUAAGCAUCUGACUUUGGCUCAGGUCAUGAUCUCACGGUUUGUGGGUUUGAGCCCCACAUCAGGCU
rnacentral:tRNA from 1 species